CGAAUGCUGACAUAAGUAACGAUAAAGCGGGUGAAAAGCCCGCUCGCCGGAAGACCAAGGGUUCCUGUCCAACGUUAAUCGGGGCAGGGUGAGUCGACCCCUAAGGCGAGGCCGAAAGGCGUAGUCGAUGGGAAACAGGUUAAUAUUCCUGUACUUGGUGUUACUGCGAAGGGGGGACGGAGAAGGCUAUGUUGGCCGGGCGACGGUUGUCCCGGUUUAAGCGUGUAGGCUGGUUUUCCAGGCAAAUCCGGAAAAUCAAGGCUGAGGCGUGAUGACGAGGCACUACGGUGCUGAAGCAACAAAUGCCCUGCUUCCAGGAAAAGCCUCUAAGCAUCAGGUAACAUCAAAUCGUACCCCAAACCGACACAGGUGGUCAGGUAGAGAAUACCAAGGCGCUUGAGAGAACUCGGGUGAAGGAACUAGGCAAAAUGGUGCCGUAACUUCGGGAGAAGGCACGCUGAUAUGUAGGUGAAGUCCCUCGCGGAUGGAGCUGAAAUCAGUCGAAGAUACCAGCUGGCUGCAACUGUUUAUUAAAAACACAGCACUGUGCAAACACGAAAGUGGACGUAUACGGUGUGACGCCUGCCCGGUGCCGGAAGGUUAAUUGAUGGGGUCAGCGCAAGCGAAGCUCUUGAUCGAAGCCCCGGUAAACGGCGGCCGUAACUAUAACGGUCCUAAGGUAGCGAAAUUCCUUGUCGGGUAAGUUCCGACCUGCACGAAUGGCGUAAUGAUGGCCAGGCUGUCUCCACCCGAGACUCAGUGAAAUUGAACUCGCUGUGAAGAUGCAGUGUACCCGCGGCAAGACGGAAAGACCCCGUGAACCUUUACUAUAGCUUGACACUGAACAUUGAGCCUUGAUGUGUAGGAUAGGUGGGAGGCUUUGAAGUGUGGACGCCAGUCUGCAUGGAGCCGACCUUGAAAUACCACCCUUUAAUGUUUGAUGUUCUAACGUUGACCCGUGAUCCGGGUUGCGGACAGUGUCUGGUGGGUAGUUUGACUGGGGCGGUCUCCUCCUAAAGAGUAACGGAGGAGCACGAAGGUUGGCUAAUCCUGGUCGGACAUCAGGAGGUUAGUGCAAUGGCAUAAGCCAGCUUGACUGCGAGCGUGACGGCGCGAGCAGGUGCGAAAGCAGGUCAUAGUGAUCCGGUGGUUCUGAAUGGAAGGGCCAUCGCUCAACGGAUAAAAGGUACUCCGGGGAUAACAGGCUGAUACCGCCCAAGAGUUCAUAUCGACGGCGGUGUUUGGCACCUCGAUGUCGGCUCAUCACAUCCUGGGGCUGAAGUAGGUCCCAAGGGUAUGGCUGUUCGCCAUUUAAAGUGGUACGCGAGCUGGGUUUAGAACGUCGUGAGACAGUUCGGUCCCUAUCUGCCGUGGGCGCUGGAGAAUUGAGGGGGGCUGCUCCUAGUACGAGAGGACCGGAGUG
rnacentral:rRNA from 1 species